rnacentral:tRNA from 1 species
GCUGGCGUGGCUUCACGGCAGAGCAUGAGCCUUCCAAGCUUCCGAUAAGGGUUCUACUCCCUUCGCCCGCU